rnacentral:rRNA from 1 species
UACAGAGGUCCCGAGCGUUGUUCGGAUUCAUUGGGCGUAAAGGGUGCGUAGGCGGCGGGGCCAGUCUGAUGUGAAAUCCCGGGGCUCAACCCCGGAACUGCAUUGGAUACUGCCUUGCUCGAGUACCGGAGAGGGAACUGGAAUUUACGGUGUAGCAGUGAAAUGCGUAGAGAUCGUAAGGAAGGCCAGUGGCGAAGGCGAGUUCCUGGACAGUUACUGACGCUGAGGCACGAAGGCCAGGGGAGCAAACGGG